rnacentral:rRNA from 1 species
AACGAACGCUGGCGGCAGGCUUAACACAUGCAAGUCGAGCGCCCCGCAAGGGGAGCGGCAGACGGGUGAGUAACGCGUGGGAAUCUACCCAUCUCUACGGAAUAACGCAUGGAAACGUGUGCUAAUAACGAAUACGUCCUUCGGGAGAAAGAUUUAUCGGAGAUGGAUGAGCCCGCGUUGGAUUAGCUAGUUGGUGGGGUAAAGGCCUACCAAGGCGACGAUCCAUAGCUGGUCUGAGAGGAUGAUCAGCCACACUGGGACUGAGACACGGCCCAGACUCCUACGGGAGGCAGCAGUGGGGAAUAUUGGACAAUGGGCGCAAGCCUGAUCCAGCCAUGCCGCGUGAGUGAUGAAGGCCCUAGGGUUGUAAGGCUCUUUCACCGGUGAAGAUAAUGACGGUAACCGGAGAAGAAGCCCCGGCUAACUUCGUGCCAGCCGCCGCGGUAACAC